GAGUUUGAUCGUGGCUCAGAUUGAACGCUGGCGGCAUGCCUUACACAUGCAAAUCGAACGGCAGCAUGAUCUAGCUUGCUAGAUUGAUGGCGAGUGGCGAACGGGUGAGUAAUACAUCGGAACGUGCCCUGUAGUGGGGGAUAACUAGUCGAAAGAUUAGCUAAUACCGCAUACGACCUGAGGGUGAAAGUGGGGGACCGCAAGGCCUCAUGCUAUAGGAGCGGCCGAUGUCUGAUUAGCUAGUUGGUGGGGUAAAGGCCCACCAAGGCGACGAUCAGUAGCUGGUCUGAGAGGACGAUCAGCCACACUGGGACUGAGACACGGCCCAGACUCCUACGGGAGGCAGCAGUGGGGAAUUUUGGACAAUGGGCGAAAGCCUGAUCCAGCAAUGCCGCGUGUGUGAAGAAGGCC
rnacentral:rRNA from 1 species